UACGUAGGGUGCAAGCGUUGUCCGGAAUUAUUGGGCGUAAAGAGCUCGUAGGCGGUCUGUCGCGUCGGCUGUGAAAACCCGGAGCUCAACUCCGGGCCUGCAGUCGAUACGGGCAGACUGGAGUUCGGCAGGGGAGACUGGAAUUCCUGGUGUAGCGGUGAAAUGCGCAGAUAUCAGGAGGAACACCGGUGGCGAAGGCGGGUCUCUGGGCCGAUGACUGACGCUGAGGAGCGAAAGCCAGGGGAGCAAACGGG
rnacentral:rRNA from 1 species